GACGAACGCUGGCGGCGUGCUUAACACAUGCAAGUCGAACGGAAAGGCCCUGCUUGCAGGGUACUCGAGUGGCGAACGGGUGAGUAACACGUGGGUGAUCUGCCCUGCACUUCGGGAUAAGCCUGGGAAACUGGGUCUAAUACCGGAUAGGAGCCAUUUUUAGUGUGAUGGUUGGAAAGUUUUUUCGGUGUAGGAUGAGCUCGCGGCCUAUCAGCUUGUUGGUGGGGUAAUGGCCUACCAAGGCGGCGACGGGUAGCCGGCCUGAGAGGGUGGACGGCCACAUUGGGACUGAGAGACGGCCCAGACUCCUACGGGAGGCAGCAGUGGGGAAUAUUGCACAAUGGGCACAAGCCUGAUGCAGCGACGCCGCGGGGGGGAUGACGGCCUUCGGGUUGUAAACUCCUUUCGCUAGGGACGAAGCUUUUUGUGACGGUACCUAGAGAAGAAGCACCGGCUAACUACGUG
rnacentral:rRNA from 1 species